UACGUAGGGGGCGAGCGUUAUCCGGAUUUACUGGGCGUAAAGCGCGUUAAGGCGGCCGACAAAGUUGGUGGUGAAAUUUCAGGGCUCAACUCUGAAACUGCCUCCAAUACUGGUCGGCUUGAGUGCGAUAGAGGAAGGUGGAAUUCCCGGUGUAGUAGUGAAAUGCGUAGAUAUCGGGAGGAACGACCAGUGGCCGGAAGGCGGAGCCUUCGUCGGUCUCGGCAA
rnacentral:rRNA from 1 species